GGAGAUUUAGCUCAGUGGUAAUAGCACCUGCCUUGUAAGCAGGCGGUCCUGAGUUCAAUCCCUG
rnacentral:tRNA from 1 species